GCGGCAUGUGGGAUCUUCCCGGACUGGGGCACGAACCUGCGUCCCCUGCAUCGGCAGGCGGACUCCCAACCACUGCGCCACCAGGGAAGCCAGGUUUGGUAACAUUUUGAAUGACUUGACGGAGCCUCAGCUUACUUAUCUGUAACAUGAGGACAGCAACACCUACCGCACGGAGCUGUCGAGAGGAUUAAAUGAGUUAAGGUACAGCGCAUAGCACAGGGCCCAGCACCCGCAAGAUCCUCAGUGAAUGUUUGCCAAGUGAAAGUACAAACCGAGACAAGUGGCUACAGCUGAAGAGUGAAAUGAUGGCGGCACUUACAGGAAAAGAACUGUCAGCUGGAACUCAGUUUUGUGACGUCAUCCCAGGGUCGAGAACAUGGUUGCUUGUUGGGCCCAAUCUAACGCUGGACGCCAGAAAACUAUCCUCAGUGGUGGAGUGAAGCUGGGCUUGUUAUCUCGCUUUACAGAUGAGGCAACAGAGGCUCAAGACAGAUAGAGGCUUGCGCAGUCAAGCCGGAGGGGACCUAUCGGGAAGUGGCAGAGCCGGAC